GCAAUAUGUCAAUUUAAUUAUUUUUUAGUUAGAAACUUUUAUUCUUAUUCUUAUUUGGUGAAUAAUCAAUCUUAAUAAGAUUUAACGGCAUGUCUUAAAUGUGCCAACUACUACGAUCUUUAAAUGGCCAUUUAAGUUUAACAGAAAGUAAAUGGCCAAGUCAACGAAACUUGUUUAUUUUUUCAAAAAGUCAAACCAAGCUUUACGAUUUAAAUGACAUUUCGAAAGUUCGUGCUUUUUUCGUCCCAAAUUUGAAAGUUCGCGAUUUUUUUGAUAUUUUUCUCCAUAUAAUAUGUUUAUCUUCGGAGAAAAGCUUUAUGAAACUGCAUUUAAUAGGUUUACUGAAUUCACUUUAUGUAAAGUUUGCCUAUUGUAUGUACUCUGACUCAAUCCCAAAUAACUCAGCAGAUUUUGAAGUAGUGGUGGUGGUGCACAGCUGAUGUCGUCGAGGUCAAGGAGGAUCUUUGAGAAGAGCAAGAGAGUUUUAUGUUUACUUGAAUGAGUAUCUUUGUAUGAAUUCUCAGUUUUUACACCAAACACCAUUUACUUUG
rnacentral:sRNA from 1 species